rnacentral:tRNA from 1 species
UGGCUCAGUUGGUAGAGCAUGGUGUUUGCAUAGCCAGGGUUGUGGGUUCGAUUCCCAC